rnacentral:rRNA from 1 species
CAAUGCGCAGCUUACACAUGCAAGUCGAGCGGAGUGAUGGUGCUUGCACUUAUCACUUUAGCGGCGGACGGGUGAGUAAUGCUUAGGAAUCUGCCUAUUAGUGGGGGACAACAUUUCGAAAGGAAUGCUAAUACCGCAUACGUCCUACGGGAGAAAGCAGGGGAUCUUCGGACCUUGCGCUAAUAGAUGAGCCUAAGUCGGAUUAGCUAGUUGGUGGGGUAAAGGCCUACCAAGGCGACGAUCUGUAGCGGGUCUGAGAGGAUGAUCCGCCACACUGGGACUGAGACACGGCCCAGACUCCUACGGGAGGCAGCAGUGGGGAAUAUUGGACAAUGGGCGCAAGCCUGAUCCAGCCAUGCCGCGUGUGUGAAGAAGGCCUUAUGGUUGUAAAGCACUUUAAGCGAGGAGGAGGCUACUGAAGUUAAUACCUUCAGAUAGUGGACGUUACUCGCAGAAUAAGCACCGGCUAACUCUGUGCCAGCAGCCGCGGUAAUACAGAGGGUGCAAGCGUUAAUCGGAUUUACUGGGCGUAAAGCGCGCGUAGGCGGCUAAUUAAGUCAAAUGUGAAAUCCCCGAGCUUAACUUGGGAAUUGCAUUCGAUACUGGUUAGCUAGAGUGUGGGAGAGGAUGGUAGAAUUCCAGGUGUAGCGGUGAAAUGCGUAGAGAUCUGGAGGAAUACCGAUGGCGAAGGCAGCCAUCUGGCCUAACACUGACGCUGAGGUGCGAAAGCAUGGGGAGCAAACAGGAUUAGAUACCCUGGUAGUCCAUGCCGUAAACGAUGUCUACUAGCCGUUGGGGCCUUUGAGGCUUUAGUGGCGCAGCUAACGCGAUAAGUAGACCGCCUGGGGAGUACGGUCGCAAGACUAAAACUCAAAUGAAUUGACGGGGGCCCGCACAAGCGGUGGAGCAUGGUGGUUUAAUUCGAUGCAACGCGAAGAACCUUACCUGGCCUGACAUAGUAGAACUUUCAGAGAUGGAUUGUGCCUUCGGACUACAUACAGUGCUGCAUGCUGUCGUCAGCUCGUGUCGUGAGAUGUGGUAGUCCCGCACCGAGCGCAUCCUUUCUAUUGCAGCGAGUAUGUCAGACUUAGAUACUGCAUGACAACUGAGAGCGGACGACGUCAGUCAUCAUGCUACGCAAGUCCUACACUGUCUCAAUGUCGGUUACAAGGGUGCUACCUCUAGCCGAUGUAGC